rnacentral:lncRNA from 1 species
AGAGAGAGAGAGAAACAGAGAGAGAGAGAGGGUGGGGGGGGAAGGAGGCAGAGUGAGAGAAAGAGAGAGAGAGAGAGAGAGAGAGAGAAGGAGAGAGGGAGGGGGAGCAAAGGAGGCAGAGCGAGUGGUUGCCCAGCGCUGCCGCAUCCUCACACCGUCACAGCGGACUGUCAUUCUCCAGGAGCCAUCCCAUCGUCCGCCUCCACCGCUCUCGAUCCCGCGCCCAUGCCCGCGUGCCUCCGCUGGCCUCCUCCCCCUGCAGCCAGGCGCAUCCCCUCUCGCUCCUCCUGCUCCUCCCGCUCCUCCAGGAGCCUCUCCGCACCGCGGUGCAUCGGCCGUCCACAUCUCCGUCCCCAUGGGCUGCCGGCUGUCCGGGCCGUGGCUGGGCGAUGGUGCUGGGAUCAAGGGCCGGGACUUGUCCCAAGUCAGCCAACGGGAUGCCCUGCAUUUCUUGGGUGGCUACGAUGAGCCAAUCACGCUACAGGUGGAGGGACGCAGGGGGAGGCACCACCACCACCACCAUCACCACCACCACCACCCGUCGCGGCAGACGUCGGACUGCAGCACCCAAACGGAGCGACACUGGGAUGCCUUCAGGUGCCUGGGCAUCCCCGACGGGGCGACCGCCGGCCUCAGCACCUACGCUGACAGGCACUGCUGCGGUCACGCAACCCUGCCGAGCGAUCGCUACCCUGCCAACCACUACCUUCCAAGCAUCCCGAUCAAAGUGGAGGACAUGGACAGGCUGGGACACCAAGUAAGUCCCUGAAGAUUUGCAGGGGGGGGGGGGUCUUCAUCCAACAGCCUGCUGCCGUGGGUCAGCAAGGGGCAUAGCGCUUAGAGAAACUACCUCGCAUUUGAAGGACUUGGGGUUAAAGGUCAC